rnacentral:tRNA from 1 species
UUCCCUGUGGCUCAGUUGGUAGAGCAUGGUGUUUGCAACGCCAGGGUUGUGCGUUCGAUUCCCACGGGGGACC